rnacentral:rRNA from 1 species
UACGUAGGGUGCAAGCGUUGUCCGGAAUUAUUGGGCGUAAAGAGCUCGUAGGCGGUUUGUCGCGUCUGCUGUGAAAACGCGAGGCUCAACCUCGCGCCUGCAGUGGGUACGGGCAGACUAGAGUGCGGUAGGGGAGAUUGGAAUUCCUGGUGUAGCGGUGGAAUGCGCAGAUAUCAGGAGGAACACCGAUGGCGAAGGCAGAUCUCUGGGCCGAAACUGACGCUGAGGAGCGAAAGCGUGGGGAGCGAACAGG